GUCCCUUUGGGGACAUCCGAUAAAAUUGGAACAAUACGGAGACGCAAGGAUGGCACGCACAAAUCGAGAAAUGGUCAAAUUUUUU
rfam:Triticum aestivum genome assembly, contig: Triticum_aestivum_CS42_TGACv1_scaffold_405472_5BL